UAUGGAGAGUUUGAUCCUGGCUCAGGAUGAACGCUGGCGGCGUGCCUAAUACAUGCAAGUCGAGCGAACGGACGAGAAGCUUGCUUCUCUGAUGUUAGCGGCGGACGGGUGAGUAACACGUGGAUAACCUACCUAUAAGACUGGGAUAACUUCGGGAAACCGGAGCUAAUACCGGAUAAUAUUUUGAACCGCAUGGUUCAAAAGUGAAAGACGGUCUUGCUGUCACUUAUAGAUGGAUCCGCGCUGCAUUAGCUAGUUGGUAAGGUAACGGCUUACCAAGGCAACGAUGCAUAGCCGACCUGAGAGGGUGAUCGGCCACACUGGAACUGAGACACGGUCCAGACUCCUACGGGAGGCAGCAGUAGGGAAUCUUCCGCAAUGGGCGAAAGCCUGACGGAGCAACGCCGCGUGAGUGAUGAAGGUCUUCGGAUCGUAAAACUCUGUUAUUAGGGAAGAACAUAUGUGUAAGUAACUGUGCACAUCUUGACGGUACCUAAUCAGAAAGCCACGGCUAACUACGUGCCAGCAGCCGCGGUAAUACGUAGGUGGCAAGCGUUAUCCGGAAUUAUUGGGCGUAAAGCGCGCGUAGGCGGUUUUUUAAGUCUGAUGUGAAAGCCCACGGCUCAACCGUGGAGGGUCAUUGGAAACUGGAAAACUUGAGUGCAGAAGAGGAAAGUGGAAUUCCAUGUGUAGCGGUGAAAUGCGCAGAGAUAUGGAGGAACACCAGUGGCGAAGGCGACUUUCUGGUCUGUAACUGACGCUGAUGUGCGAAAGCGUGGGGAUCAAACAGGAUUAGAUACCCUGGUAGUCCACGCCGUAAACGAUGAGUGCUAAGUGUUAGGGGGUUUCCGCCCCUUAGUGCUGCAGCUAACGCAUUAAGCACUCCGCCUGGGGAGUACGACCGCAAGGUUGAAACUCAAAGGAAUUGACGGGGACCCGCACAAGCGGUGGAGCAUGUGGUUUAAUUCGAAGCAACGCGAAGAACCUUACCAAAUCUUGACAUCCUUUGACAACUCUAGAGAUAGAGCCUUCCUCUUCGGGGGACAAAGUGACAGGUGGUGCAUGGUUGUCGUCAGCUCGUGUCGUGAGAUGUUGGGUUAAGUCCCGCAACGAGCGCAACCCUUAAGCUUAGUUGCCAUCAUUAAGUUGGGCACUCUAAGUUGACUGCCGGUGACAAACCGGAGGAAGGUGGGGAUGACGUCAAAUCAUCAUGCCCCUUAUGAUUUGGGCUACACACGUGCUACAAUGGACAAUACAAAGGGCAGCGAAACCGCGAGGUCAAGCAAAUCCCAUAAAGUUGUUCUCAGUUCGGAUUGUAGUCUGCAACUCGACUACAUGAAGCUGGAAUCGCUAGUAAUCGUAGAUCAGCAUGCUACGGUGAAUACGUUCCCGGGUCUUGUACACACCGCCCGUCACACCACGAGAGUUUGUAACACCCGAAGCCGGUGGAGUAACCUUUUAGGAGCUAGCCGUCGAAGGUGGGACAAAUGAUUGGGGUGAAGUCGUAACAAGGUAGCCGUAUCGGAAGGUGCGGCUGGAUCACCUCCUU
rnacentral:rRNA from 1 species